rnacentral:rRNA from 1 species
AGAGUUUGAUUCUGGCUCAGGAUGAACGCCGGCGGUGUGCCUAAUACAUGCAAGUCGAGCGCACUGGCCCAACUGAUAUGACGUGCUUGCACUGAAUUGACGUUGGAUUCCCAGUGAGCGGCGGACGGGUGAGUAACACGUGGGCAACCUGCCCUGAAGCGGGGGAUAACAUCUGGAAACAGGUGCUAAUACCGCAUAACAACGAAAACCACAUGGUUUUCGUUUCAAAGAUGGUUUCGGCUAUCACUUCAGGAUGGGCCCGCGGUGCAUUAGCUAGUUGGUAAGGUAACGGCUUACCAAGGCGAUGAUGCAUAGCCGAGUUGAGAGACUGAUCGGCCACAAUGGAACUGAGACACGGUCCAUACUCCUACGGGAGGCAGCAGUAGGGAAUCUUCCACAAUGGGCGCAAGCCUGAUGGAGCAACACCGCGUGAGUGAAGAAGGGUUUCGGCUCGUAAAGCUCUGUUGUUGGAGAAGAACGUGCGUGAGAGUAACUGUUCAUGCAGUGACGGUAUCCAACCAGAAAGUCACGGCUAACUACGUGCCAGCAGCCGCGGUAAUACGUAGGUGGCAAGCGUUAUCCGGAUUUAUUGGGCGUAAAGCGAGCGCAGGCGGUUGCUUAGGUCUGAUGUGAAAGCCUU